AGAUUCGAAGAGUUGGCAGAAAAACAGGAAAAGGGUUUCAGGCUCCCAGGGUCCUGAGGUGGAGAAAGACCUAACCCCGUUGUGCCCCAAUCUUUCAGAGCUGAAAACACUGGUAGCUGCAGAAACCCUCACAGCACCUGGGAAUCCAUCCAGCAACAAGAGACUGGAGGAGCUAAAGCCAAGGAUCGUGCUCUGUAGUCCCCUCAUCCGGACACUGGGUGGCACUGUCCACCCACCAAGGAGAUUCUGAAGACAGCUUCUGAGGGAUUGUUCUGCCACAUUAUCUUGCUUUCAUGGACAAAUGACUCAUCACCAGGAGAGGGAUGACAAGGACUUGGCCAGCUCCUGCCAACGCCUUGCUUUCCAGGACACUCCACCCUUCUGCCCUUCCUGUUGCCAUCUGUCCUUCCCAUUACACCCCUGGGACCUUCCUUAGGGUAUCGAGGGCAGCAGGGCCCUGGCUCUCCGUGUCUAGAGCAGCCCACGUUGAGAAACAAUGUGAUCCCCCGGGAACUUCUGGGCUUCCAGCCAUCAGUCCCCAUCUGUGAAGGUGAAGCCCUAAAGGAAAACUAGGCAAGCGAGGAAGGGGUGGAGAAAGGCCCUGCUCUUUAUAAGCCCAUCUCUGAGUCUCUAUCUGGUUUGUGUAUUUCAGGCCAUUUAUCCUCGGAGAAGUUUCCAAAGGCAGGGGCUAUAAGUCUCAGGGGUGGGCAUGUUCUCCUUUAUUGGUCUGGGGGGGAACACGACCUAAUGUCUCUCCUGGAGGUUAAUUGAAUGACUUCAAGUCCAUUUCCCAUAACGGGAAGGCUGAGCUGGUGUAUGGUUUUGGUACCUGACCUUGUGUGAGAGGAUGAGGAUGAGGGGUUUGUCCAACCCUGGAAGCACCGAGUCAAGGGGCCAUGCCAGGCUCCUUGAAUUUGGUGUAGACCCUGCCCAGCAUGAGAGGUGGUGUGGAAAUGGGCUCUACGCAUUAGGGGAUGGCUAGCCAGCCCAGUAAUUAGUUGAAUUGAUCAAAGCAAAUUAGUAAAAGCCAUUUCGUAUCCACUCA